rnacentral:tRNA from 1 species
GCUGGCAUGGCUUAGUAGUUGAGCAUCAACCUAUGAAUCAGGAGGUCAGGGUUCAAUUCCCUGUCAGAGCA